AUUAUCGAUACAGUCUCUGUACUAUAUUGGUACGCGAAGCUUUCAUUUUUGCUUUUGGCGGUUAUGUUUGGUCAAUUUAUUUGACCCGGGUCUACGGACCC
rnacentral:misc_RNA from 1 species